AUGAUUUGCUUAAACUGGAACUGCCGGGGGCUUGGGAACCCCGAGCCAGUUCGCGAGCUUCGCAAUGUGGUGAAGCAAGAAGGUCCCGCCCUUGUCUUUGUGAUGGAAACGAAGAUUAGGGCUGUCAAGGUUGAGAACCUGAAGUUUUCUUUGGGUUUCUCUGGUUGUUUUGCAGUGGACAGUGUCGGGCUGAGUGGAGGCCUUGGAUUAUUUUGGUCUAAGGACGUG
rnacentral:rRNA from 1 species